GAUGAACGCUGGCGGCGUGCUUAACACAUGCAAGUCGAACGAAGCACUUUAAACUGAUUCUUCGGAUGAAGUUUUUUGUGACUUAGUGGCGGACGGGUGAGUAACGCGUGAGUAACCUGCCUUACACAGGGGGAUAACAGUUAGAAAUGACUGCUAAUACCGCAUAAGCGCACAGGACCGCAUGGUCUGGUGUGAAAAGUUUUUCGGUGUAAGAUGGACUCGCGUCUGAUUAGCUAGUUGGUGAGGUAAUGGCUCACCAAGGCGACGAUCAGUAGCCGACUUGAGAGAGUGAUCGGCCACAUUGGGACUGAGACACGGCCCAAACUCCUACGGGAGGCAGCAGUGGGGAAUAUUGCACAAUGGGGGAAACCCUGAUGCAGCGACGCCGCGUGAGCGAUGAAGUAUUUCGGUAUGUAAAGCUCUAUCAGCAAGGAAGAUAAUGACGGUACUUGACUAAGAAGCCCCGGCUAACUACGUGCCAGCAGCCGCGGUAAGAC
rnacentral:rRNA from 1 species